UGUACCUAGUUUAUACUAAGUGACCCAUAGGUUGAGGAGGAGGAUGAGGUAGCCAACACUGUUUUAUAAAUAUAUAUAUAUAUAUAUAUUAAUUGGGGAAGCCCCCAAAAUAUUGGGACAUAUAAAAAAAGACAACUCUGUUCCGCAGAGUAGCUGUUGACAUUAUAGUUGCGCAGGAACUUUGUUGACUCUCAGGCAAAUCGCACAUCCCCAUGGCGGCAACUUUGCAUGCGGAUGUCAUCCAUAUCAAUUUUCAAUGCCAGUUUUUGCGCCUACAAUGGUGACCACGGGUAACAUGGAAUCAGGGUUCCAUACAGGGACCCUGAGAAACGGCUACCACAUGCAAGGAAGGCAGCAGGCAUGCAAAUGACCCACUCCCGACGCGGGAAGAUAGUGGCAACAAAUAACAAUACAGGACUCUUUAGAGGCCCUGUAAUUGUAAUGAGUCCACUUGAAAUCCUUUAACUCUGAUCGGGAAGUCUGGUGCA